UGUUAAGGUGGCAGAUUAGUGCGCUAGGUUUAAGCCCUAAUUAUAAGAAAUCUUUCUUCCUUAUCAA
rnacentral:tRNA from 1 species